rnacentral:rRNA from 1 species
UACGGGGGGGCGAAGCGUUGUUCGGAAUUACUGGGCGUAAAGGGUUCGUAGGUGGCUUGUUAAGUCAGACGUGAAAUCCCUCGGCUCAACCGGGGAACUGGCGUCUGAGACUGAUGAGGCUCGAGUGCAGGAGAGGAACGCGGAAUUCCAGGUGUAGCGGUGAAAUGCGUAGAUAUCUGGAGGAACACCGGUGGCGAAGGCGGCGUUCUGGACUGCAACUGACACUGGAGGAAACGAAAGCCAGGGGAGCAAACGGG